UACGUAGGGUGCAAGCGUUUGUCCGGAAUUAUUGGGCGUAAAGAGCUCGUAGGCGGUCUGUCGCGUCUGCUGUGAAAACUCAGGGCUUAACCCUGAGCUUGCAGUGGGUACGGGCAGACUAGAGUGCGGUAGGGGAGACGUGGAAUUCCGUGGUGUAGCGGUGGAAUGCGCAGAUAUCAGGAGGAACACCGAUGGCGAAGGCAGGUCUCUGGGCCAUUGACUGACACUGGAGAAGCGAAAGCAUGGGGAGCGAACAGG
rnacentral:rRNA from 1 species